rfam:Hordeum vulgare subsp. vulgare, WGS project CAJW01000000 data, contig: morex_contig_134765
UAUAUACUCUUUUCGUCCUAAAAAUUUUGUCUUAGAUUUGUUUAGAUAUGAAUCUAUCUAGUCAAAUUUUAGCAUUUAGAUAAAUUUAUUUCUAGACAAAGCUAAGGCAAGAAUUUUGGGACGGAGGGAGUAUAUA